AGCGGAUCGAUGCGGCGCGCCACAUGGAUUUUAUUUCUUUCCUUCCUCGUCCACUUUACGCAAGCACAAGUGUUUAUUGUGCUGACCGCUUGGAUUUGUGAUCUUCGCCGACUCACAGCGCUGCAGCUCGACCACAAACACAGGAAGUUAACGUCGGGGGCCAUUUAAUAAGGACUAAAGCCACAGCCUGGUGCUGUAGCUGAUGCUGUAAUGAUUAAUGAGGGCCAGGCCUCAGCCUCAGUGGUGGUAUCUCUGUUGAAUUAGCCUCUGAUUACGCCUGGCUGGGUCAUACAUGACUAAUGGCUCCAGGGCCUAAUUCAUUCUUCCUUGAGCCAGGCCAUGUGGUACAACUACUGAAUGUGUUUGAUCUGACAUCCAUUAUAAAAGCUGAUGUGCCGUCUGUA